GUAUCGUUGUAAUAUCCCCCACUUUUAAAAAUGUAUUAAUAAGGAUUUAUAUGUAAAUUGGGGGACCUAUAUGUAAAUAUAGAAAUUACAAGGACUAAACUGCUAAGUUGCAAAAAGAAAAAAAAAAGAAAAGGAAAAACCGAAAAUUCGGUAUUAUCCCACCGCCUCCCACGCACUCUGUUUCUUUCCAGAAACAGAGAGAGCGGUGGGGCGUGAGGAGAAGAAGGAGAGUGGUUGAAGAAAAGAAGAAGAAGAGGGAAAAGAAGAGAGGAGGAAGAAGAGAGGAAGAAGAGGGAGAAGAGAAGAAGAUGAAGAAGAAGAAGAAGAAGAAGAAGAGAGGAUGAUAGCUGCGGCAAGGCUGCAGCGAGGAGGUGUGUGGGGUUGGGGAGGAAAAGGGAAGAGGAGAAGAAAAGAAGGAGAAGAAGAGGGAAAAGAGAGGGAAGAGGGAGAGGAGCGAGAGGUGGCAGCAGCUAGGGCUGCAGCACCUCUGUUUCCUGCAGGUGGAAACAGAGGAGAGGUGGGGCGUUCGAAGAGGAGAAGAAGAAGAAGAAGGAAGAGAAGAGGAAGAGGAAGCAGGAGAAGAGGUUGUGAUACCUCUGUUUCCUGCAGAGGAAAUAGAGGAGAGGGUGUGUGUGACGUCGGGGAGAAGAAGGGGAGGAAGGAGAAGAAGAGAAGAAGAAGAAAGGAAGGAGAGGAAGAAGAGAAGGGAAAGGAGGAGCUGCGGCUGCGGCGGUGGCAGUUGCAGCUGGAAGAGAAGGAGAGGAAGAGAUGGUGAGGAAGAAGAGAAGAAGUAGAAGCGGGUGAAGAGGCGGCACCUCUGUUUCCUGCAGGAGGAAACAGAGGAAAGGAGGUGCUGUUCGUCGGGGAGAAGAAGGGGGCUGCAGCUGCGGCGAUGGCAGCUGCAGCUGGAAGAGAAGAAGAAGAGGAAGAUGAGCAGGGGAGGAGGGAGAGGUUGCGGCCGUGGCUGCGGCCGCGACUGCAGCAGUUGCAGCGGGGAGAGAAGAAGAAGAAUGGAAGGAGAAGGAAGAGGAGAAGGGAAAGAAGUAGCUGCGGCUGCGGUUGUGGCAGCUGCAGCUGUGGCAGGGAAAGAGGAAGAGAAAAAGGAAAGGAAGAAGAAGAGAAAGGGAAGGAGAGGAAGAAGAGAGGAAGAGGAGAAGGGGCUGCGGCUGCGGCGAUGGCAGCUGCAGCUGUGGCUGGGAAAGAAGAGAAGGAAAGGAAGAAGAAGAGAAAGGGAAGGAGAGGAAGAAGAGAGGAAGAGGAGAAGGGGUGGCAGCUGCGGCAGUGGCAGCUGCAGCUGGAAGAGGAGGAGGAAAUAGAGCAGGGGAGGAAGAAGAGGCUGCGAGUGUGGUGGCUGCGGCCAUGGCUGCGACUCCGGCUGCGGCUGCGACGUUGGCUGCGGCAGCGGUGGUGGCUGCAGUAGCUGCAGUAGCUACUUUUGGGAAAGAGAAAGAGUAGGAACGAGAGAAGGGAAGAAGGAAAUAGUGCAGUGGAAGGGGGCUGCGGUUGUGACCGCAGUUGCGAUUGUGGCAGCGGCGGCGGCUGUGGCAGCUGCGUUUGGGAAAGAAAAAGAAGGAAUGAGAGUAAGAGAGAGCAGGUGACUGUGCCUCGAUGUUCGACACGUGGUGUAGUUGCGAAGAAAGGAAGAAAACGGGAGCACAAAACGAAACAGAGAGAGGACACGGAGGAAAAGUAGAAGGAUUUGGGCUGGCACCUUCUUUGGAUCUUCGGAUCGAAAUCUUUGAAAGGUCAGCUUGUUACUCUUCGAGAUGUUUGAUUUGGGCUGAGGCAGUGGAUAGCUAUUCAGAAUGAUGGGCAAGUCUGGUUGGUUAUUACGAUAUUGUUGUAUAAGUAUGUUUUGUAUGUAAUGAAAUGUUGUCGAUGAACCGAAAUGGAUAUACUGUGUCAAAGUGUUAGGAGAUAUCUCUUAUUUGGAAUUUCUGAAUGUUAAGCCUAAUUUAUAAUGAUAUGAACUUGUGGUGAAUAGUUGGAGUUCUGAUUGUAUAAAUUAUUUAGCUUGUGGAUUUAUAAAUAUUGUUCAUGUUUGUCAAGUUGGCUUGGGUUGCCAUAAAUGUGAAUUAUUGAGUGAUGUGAUAUAUGAUUAUAAACUGCACAGGUUUUAUGGAUGUGAAUAUGAAUAGAAUGUUUUUCAGUGUCCUCAAACGUUAGUUUGGAUCCUGGAUUGGUCUGUGAUGAAAAAUUUUAAAAAUCAUGGAUAUUUUGAGGGGCGUGACAGAGGUGGUAUCAGAGCAUUGUUUGAGGAUUACUGAAAUAUUUGAUAUGUUGACGUGCAAAAUAUAUUGAGGUCUAAUGAACUAUAGUGAUUGGUGGAAAUUUUCUUUGAUGUAUUUUAGGAAUCUGGGAUGAUGAGGAUAUUUGGUCCUCCUAUUUCAUUGUUUCUUAUUAAUUAAGGGGAAUGAAAGGAUUGAUUGGGGAUAUUGAAUCAGAGUGGCGCAGCGGAAGCAUGGUGGACCUAAUUUCAUUGGUGGUAGAAAAAUGAAUGAUGCAAACAGAGAAGAUAUUUGAUGUACAAAAUUGUUUUGAUGAUCAAAAGAUUUCUUUUGCCACGUUAUAUUAGAAGUAAAGACUUAUUAUUGACGGCAACAAUGAAAAGAAUUUUUGAAGAUCAAUGGCAAGAAUGACAAGAACAAGUUUACCAAUAAAAAUAUGAUUGGAAAUGAAUCAGUAAGUAACAACAAGAGAGUCAAGACAUUUUGAUUUGAAAUGGGAAGUCACCACAAAAGACUCAAUCAGGUGUGAAUUGCAAGUUAAAUUAUAAAACAAGUUUAUGUUUGUGCGUGACUAGAGCCUAUUUUGCUUAUGGAAAGUUUGAUCAUAAAAUAAAAGUUUGCCCUUUGAACAAGAAGAAAGAGUCACUGCCUCCUAAAUCAUCAGCCCAUGUCAGAGUGUAUGCUAUCACUGAAUAUGAUUCUAAGACUUCUGAAUUAGUGGUCGAAGGUAUUAUGUAUGUUUAUGAAAGAAUGCAAAUAUUUGUUUGAACAUGGGUUCUAUCUACGAUUUGAUUCGUAACAUAUUGCCUAUCACUUGGGUAUUCAACCUAGACCACUGUAUUAUGUGAUAUAUGUAAGUACAAUCAUUGGAGAUUCUUUGAUAAUGAACUUGAAUCUGGUCCUCUUGUCUGAUUUUUGUUGGAGAACUUGAACUUUUGCUGAUUUAGUUCUCCUAGAGAUUUGGAGUUAUGAUAUUAUACUUGGUAUACAUUGGCUAUCUUCUUAUCAUACCUGUAUGGAUUGGUAUAUAACAAAUGAUCACUUUUUGCAUAUUUGAUCAGCCGAUCUUUUAUUUUGAGAGUAUUGGACAUUAUUUAUCUCCUUGCCUAAUGUAUCCCAGGAUGACUUGUUUGGAUUACCUCCAAAUGUGAUUUUGCUUUUGAUUUGGUCGUUGGGACAAUCCUAAAAUCUAAGCCUCUCUACAGAAAGAUAUCAUUUGAGUAAGUGGAAUUAGAAAAGCAACUACAAGGAUUAUUAAAUGAGGAUUUUAUUUGGCUUAAUAUUUCAUCAUGGGGUGCUCCGGUGUUAGUUAAAAGAUGGAUGGAACAUUGAGGCUUUGUAUUGAUUAUAGAUAGUUGAAUUAGGUGACCAUCAAAAAACGAGUAUUUUCUAAAGUGACCACUUGUUUGAUUAACUGUAGGGUGCACAGGUAUUUUAAAAGAUUGUUUGAAGGUCGGGUUACCAUCUAUUGAGGAUCAAGGAGGAGAAUAUUUCGGUCACUCUUGGAAAAUUGUGUAAUUGUAUUGAAUUGAUGAAAUUAUUUAAGAGUAGGAGGAGGAAAUAAAGAAAUCAUAAUCCUCAUCUUUUCAUCGAUUGAGCUAUGACCAAUUUAGAGGACUAAAUUUUCUUUUAAGGGGGGGAGAGUGUAAAAUCCCCCACUUUUAAAAAUGUAUUAAUAAGGAUUUAUAUGUAAAUUGGGGGACCUAUAUGUAAAUAUAGAAAUUACAAGGACUAAACUGCUAAGUUGCAAAAAGAAAAAAAAAAGAAAAGGAAAAACCGAAAAUUCGGUAUUAUCCCACCGCCUCCCACGCACUCUGUUUCUUUCCAGAAAUAGAGAGAGCGGUGGGGCGUGAGGAGAAGAAGGAGAGUGGUUGAAGAAAAGAAGAAGAAGAGGGAAAAGAAGAGAGGAGGAAGAAGAGAGGAAGAAGAGAGGAAGAAGAGGGAGAAGAGAAGAAGAUGAAGAAGAAGAAGAAGAAGAAGAGAGGAUGAUAGCUGCGGCAAGGCUGCAGCGAGGAGGUGUGUGGGGUUGGGGAGGAAAAGGGAAGAGGAGAAGAAAAGAAGGAGAAGAAGAGGGAAAAGAGAGGGAAGAGGGAGAGGAGCGAGAGGCGGCAGCAGCUAGGGCUGCAGCACCUCUGUUUCCUGCAGGUGGAAACAGAGGAGAGGUGGGGCGUUCGAAGAGGAGAAGAAGAAGAAGAAGGAAGAGAAGAGGAAGAGGAAGCAGGAGAAGAGGUUGUGAUACCUCUGUUUCCUGCAGAGGAAACAGAGGAGAGGGUGUGUGUGACGUCGGGGAGAAGAAGGGGAGGAAGGAGAAGAAGAGAAGAAGAAGAAAGGAAGGAGAGGAAGAAGAGAAGGGAAAGGAGGAGCUGCGGCUGCGGCGGUGGCAGCUGCAGCUGGAAGAGAAGGAGAGGAAGAGAUGGUGAGGAAGAAGAGAAGAAGUAGAAGCGGGUGAAGAGGCGGCACCUCUGUUUCCUGCAGGAGGAAACAGAGGAAAGGAGGUGCUGUUCGUCGGGGAGAAGAAGGGGGCUGCAGCUGCGGCGAUGGCAGCUGCAGCUGGAAGAGAAGAAGAAGAGGAAGAUGAGCAGGGGAGGAGGGAGAGGUUGCGGCCAUGGCUGCGGCCGGGACUGCAGCAGUUGCAGCGGGGAGAGAAGAAGAAGAAAGGAAGGAGAAGGAAGAGGAGAAGGGAAAGAAGUAGCUGCGGCUGCGGUUGUGGCAGCUGCAGCUGUGGCAGGGAAAGAGGAAGAGAAAAAGGAAAGGAAGAAGAAGAGAAAGGGAAGGAGAGGAAGAAGAGAGGAAGAGGAGAAGGGGUGGCAGCUGCGGCAGUGGCAGCUGUAGCUGGAAGAGGAGGAGGAAAUAGAGCAGGGGAGGAAAAAGAGGCUGCGAGUGUGGUGGCUACGGCCGUGGCUGCGACUCCGGCUGCGGCUGCGACGUUGGCUGCGGCAGCGGUGGUGGCUGCAGUAGCUGCUUUUGGGAAAGAGAAAGAGUAGGAACGAGAGAAGGGAAGAAGGAAAUAGUGUAGUGGAUGGGGGCUGCGGUUGUGACCACAGUUGCGAUUGUGGCAGCGGCGGCGGCUGUGGCAGCUGCGUUUGGGAAAGAAAAAGAAGGAAUGAGAGUAAGAGAGAGCAGGUGACUGUGCCUCGAUGUUCGACACGUGGUGUAGUUGCGAAGAAAGGAAGAAAACGGGAGCACAAAACGAAACAGAGAGAGGACACGGAGGAAAAGUAGAAGGAUUUGGGCUGGCACCUUCUUUGGAUCUUCGGAUCGAAAUCUUUGAAAGGUCAGCUUGUUACUCUUCGAGAUGUUUGAUUUGGGCUGAGGCAGUGGAUAGCUAUUCAGAAUGAUGGGCAAGUCUGGUUGGUUAUUACGAUAUUGUUGUAUAAGUAUGUUUUGUAUGUAAUGAAAUGUUGUCGAUGAACCGAAAUGGAUAUACUGUGUCAAAGUGUUAGGAGAUAUCUCUUAUUUGGAAUUUCUGAAUGUUAAGCCUAAUUUAUAAUGAUAUGAACUUGUGGUGAA